rnacentral:tRNA from 1 species
GGAGAGGUGGCGGAAUGGUAGACGCGCUACUUUGAGGGGGUAGUGGGAUUUUCCCGUGGGAGUUCGAGUCUCCUCCUCUUCA